UCAAGAUGUGGGUUGAGCUUGCAGCUCAAGCCUUCUACUGUGGCUGUUUGCGUUCC
rnacentral:ribozyme from 1 species